rnacentral:rRNA from 1 species
AAGUCGUAACAAGGUAGCCGUAGGGGAACCUGUGGCUGGAUUGAAUCCUUCGCGAUGGAAAUGCCCUCUUCCCCCAACCAGGGGGCUAGCUUGCUUCCCCACUGCGGCGGGCGGGCGAAGGGUCGCCGUAGGUGAGGUAUCCGGGGGCAAAAUCCAAGAGUUCCAUUUUCCUUCUUGUUCAUCAAUCGGAAAUCAAGACAAACCGGGCACUACGGUGAGACGUGAAAACACCCGAUCCCAUUCCGACCUCGAUCUGUGGAAUCGUCUUGCGCCAUAUGUACUGAGAUUGUUCGGGAGACAUGGUCCAAGCCCGGUGAAGAAAUGAAAAUUUCAAAUUGCAUAUCAAUAA